ensembl:snRNA U4 U4 spliceosomal RNA
AGCUUUGCACAGUGGCAGUAUCGUAGCCAAUGGGGUUUAGCUGAGGCGUGAUUAUUGCUAAUUGAAAACUUAUUUGUAUUUGUUUAUAUCAUUCCUAUUGUCACAUUUACUGGAAAUCUUGCCUUUACAAUCUAAAAGG